rnacentral:lncRNA from 1 species
CGCGGGGCUGCUGAACACUUGAAAUGUGGCUGGUUCGGGUUAAAAUAUACUAUUUCCCUCCAUGGAUUACAGUUGACCGUUGAACAACAUGGAGUUGAACUGCAUGAGGCUGCUCGUAUUUUUUUCUGCCUCUGCCACCCCUGAGACAGCAAGAUCAAUCCUUCCUCCUCCUCCUCCUCCUCAGCCGACUCAAAGACCAUGAGGAUGAAGACCUAUACGAUGAUCCACUUCCAUUU